UACAAAAAAACUGAAACCUAAUGAGAUACUAUUUUCACAUAAAAUUGACUUUCCCCCCUAGGUAUUCUUGUGCAAUUGACUGGUGAAUGACACAGAAGAGAGAUACCCAACUGACAAGUCCACUAGAAGCAUUAAUGCUGUCCUAGCAGUGUGCCGUAGACUAGACCAAAGAGAGAGUCCUCAGAUCUCAGGACUGGGAGGUAGCUGGCAGGCUAUACACCUUAAUGGACUGAACCGUGGCUGAGAUCUGUUGUGGUUGCUUCCUGAGCCAGUGACUGAUUAUCUGGGCGUGUGGAUUACACUGAAACCAUAUAAUCAGUGCUAAAGGGAUUGCUGGUCUGUCCUUGCUAGAACCCUCAGAGAUGACCAACAGGAAGGACAAAAGGUACAGUGUCUGCUUAAUAAGUCAGAACAGUUGAGGCUGAAAGGUAUUUAGAAGAUGGACUUCAA
rnacentral:lncRNA from 1 species